rnacentral:rRNA from 1 species
UACCAGCUCUCCGAGUGGUGGGGAUGCUUAUUGGGCCUAAAGCAUUCGUAGCCUGCUUGGCAAGUCCUCCGUUAAAUCCAACGAUUCAAUCGUUGGGCUGCGGGGGAUACUGUCCGGCUAGGGGGCGGGAGAGGCCGACGGUAUCCUCGGGGUAGGGGUGAAAUCCUAUAAUCCCGGGAGGACCACCAGUGGCGAAGGCUGUCGGCUAGAACGCGCUCGACGGUGAGGGAUGGAAAGCUGGGGCAGCGAACCGGAUUAGAUACCCGGGUAGUCCCAGCUGUAAACGAUGCAGGCUAGGUGUUGGCGCGGCUACGUGCCGCUUCAGUGCCGCAGGGAAGCCGUUAAGCCUGCCGCCUGGGAAGUACGGCGCAAGGCUGAAACUUAAGGAAUUGGCGGGGAGCACCACAAGGUGUGAAGCUUGCGGUUU